rnacentral:rRNA from 1 species
UACGAAGGGGGCUAGCGUUGCUCGGAAUCACUGGGCGUAAAGCGCACGUAGGCGGAUUGUUAAGUCAGGGGUGAAAUCCUGGAGCUCAACUCCAGAACUGCCUUUGAUACUGGCGAUCUUGAGUCCGGGAGAGGUGAGUGGAACUCCGAGUGUAGAGGUGAAAUUCGUAGAUAUUCGGAAGAACACCAGUGGCGAAGGCGGCUCACUGGCCCGGUACUGACGCUGAUGCGCGAAAGCGUGGGGAGCAAACAGG